rnacentral:rRNA from 1 species
CCCUUAGAUGUCCUGGGCCGCACGCGCGCUACACUGACACACGCAACGAGUUUUGCUUGUCCGAAAGGUCUGGCUAAUCUUUUAAAUGUGUGUCGUGAUAGGGAUAGAUUAUUGCAAUUAUUAAUCUUGAACGAGGAAUUCCUAGUAAACGCAAGUCAUCAGCUUGCAUUGAUUACGUCCCUGCCCUUUGUACACACCGCCCGUCGCACCUACCGAUUGAAUGGUCCGGUGAAAUCUCGGGACGGCGGCUUGGUCGCUUGCGUCCGACUGCUGAAACUUGAUUAAACCAUAUCAUUUAGAGGAAGGUGAAGUCGUAACA